AUUGAACGCUGGCGGCAUGCCUUACACAUGCAAGUCGAACGGCAGCACGGGGCAACCUGGUGGCGAGUGGCGAACGGGUGAGUAAUGCAUCGGAACGUACCUUUCAGUGGGGGAUAACGUAGCGAAAGUUACGCUAAUACCGCAUAUUCUGUGAGCAGGAAAGCAGGGGAUCGCAAGACCUUGCGCUGAUUGAGCGGCCGAUGUCAGAUUAGCUAGUUGGUGAGGUAAAGGCUCACCAAGGCGACGAUCUGUAGCGGGUCUGAGAGGAUGAUCCGCCACACGGAAUCUGAGACACGGUCCAGACUCCUACGGGAGGCAGCAGUGGGGAAUUUUGGACAAUGGGGGCAACCCUGAUCCAGCCAUGCCGCGUGAGUGGAGAAGGCCUUCGGGUUGUAAAGCUCUUUCGGCCGGGAAGAAAUCGCACGGGCUAAUACCCUGUGUGGAUGACGGUACCGGAAUAAGAAGCACCGGCUAACUACGUGCCAGCCGCCGCCGUAACAC
rnacentral:rRNA from 1 species